ensembl:snRNA U6 U6 spliceosomal RNA
UGUUCCCACAGAACAUACUACUAAAAUUGGAGUGACAACAGAUAACAUGACCCCUGUGCAAGGUUGAUACACACAGUCAGAAAGUACUCCGUAUUUUU